rnacentral:lncRNA from 1 species
GGACGGAUCUUGCUGGCGUGGAUCUGUCCGGACCUGCCGAGCCACAGAGGAAGAGAGAGAGAGAGAGAUAGUGAGAGAAAUCUAUUUAAAAAAAAGAAGAAAGGAGGGAGAGAGAUGGAAUAGUUGGAGAAGGAAGGAGGGUGAAAAAAAAAAUUUGUUGGAGAGUUGGGAAGAGAGUUAUAUGUGGAAAGAGUGAAUGAGAAUAGUGAAUAGGAGAGAGAAGAGGAUACUUGAAAAUAUUAAUUGAAUAUAGAAGAAUAGAAUAGAAUUAUGUUAUUUGUUUAGGAUAGUUUGAGUAUUUUUAUAAAAUUUUUGUUAAAAUAUGAACAGUGAAAAAUAGAUCCAGAAAAAUAUUUAAUGCAAGAAAAAAGAAAGAUAAAAAAAAUAGCACACUGAAAUUAAUGUAGUUCGACCAAUGGUCUACGAUCACUGACAAAGCUGGAGUAAAAAUUUUAUUUUUUCUAAGAAAAGGAUAGCACGCUAGUUGCUUCAUUCAUUAAGUAUUUGAAUUUAGCUACAAGUAGUGAGGCUGCGAAGGCCUCCAGGCAACAAAAUGUCAACAAAAAGCAGAAGAAGAAAAAAGGAGAAGUACGUUAAAAACAAUAUCAGUCAUCAGAAUAAAGGAUGCAACAAACACCAACAUCACCCGACUUUACUGCAAUAUACCGAACUUCUAAUUCAU